rnacentral:lncRNA from 1 species
ACCGCAGACGAGCUCGCGCCCGCGCCGCUCAGAUCUCCCAGCUGGACAUUGGAAAUAGCUUUUGAUGGUUUAGGGCCUCUUUCAUUUGACCCCAGAAAUGUGAUUAUGUCCUGAGGCCUAUUGAGUUGAAAACGAAUAUUCUCCUCAACAGAGAGAUAAGAAAUGAGCUUUGACUGUUAGUCACCUGGAUGAAGAGCCCUGAGUUUAGCUCGUCAGAGUCCUGUAACCUGCAAAGACCCUCUGGUUGUACAAGGAUCGAUCGAUUGAAGUAAGGCAUAAUUACUUUAAUUAGAAUGCAAGACUUUUACUCUUGAAUCAGGUUUUAAUAAGGUGACUUGGCAUAACUCUAUAAAGUGCCAAUAGCUGCUAAUUUUGGAAAAGCAGAAGAAUGUAAGCAUCAUUUUAUGGUAAAACCUAUGUAUUUCAAUAUCUAUUCAUCUUUUAUUUCAUGAAUUUGAGUCCAUUUUCUUUGGAUAGUGUUAUCUAAUUUCUGCGUGGCUGCUGAAAUUGGUACAAUUUCCUUGCCUUCGUGUUAUCAAUUGAUUUUUAUACAAUUGUAAUUUUAUGGUAAGUAAUCAAAUUAGCUAGUCUCUUUUCUUUUUUGCAGUUUAGGUUGACACACUAUUUUAUUUUAAAAUUAUAGCAAUGCAGUUUGUGCCAUUAUAUAGGACGGUUUUGCAUUUCUUAUUUAUUCCAAGUUUACAUAGGUCUAAUUACCUUUUGGAUCAUCUGUCUGUAUAAGGCCACACAGACUGUGAACUUCCAUUUAGGCAUUAGAGGUUGAAGACAUGCUUUAAAAAUAGCUUAUAGUUCUUCCUGGAACACUCCAGUUUUGAGCAGAUGAUGCCAGUAUGUGACUGAAAUACUUUUUUCUGUAGAGCACUACAUGCAAUCGAUGUUCCAAUGCUGGUUUAGGCUUACUGUGCAUAAAAGUUUACAUGUCACGGAAAAUGAAAGGUCUAAACAACGGCACAGAACCAAGAGCUAGGAAAUCUGAGCAGACCCAGCAUGGCCACAAAUACAUUAGAAACUUGGAUGAAUCCCUUAUCCUUCUGAGUAUUCCCUUGGUUCUGAAAUGAAGGCGUUAGGUGAACCAAGGAAAGGCUGGCAAAUUCUUGUGACUUGAAAGUCAAAUAUAUAAUGUAUGAAUUGUAUGAAGUGGUUGGGUAUGAGACAGUAGGAAAUGGUGAGCUCGUGGGGAAAGAUUCUGUCCUCCUUCUAAAGCCAUUUGGAGUCCAGAAUAUUAAAUCUGGGCAAAGAAAUAAACUGUAUGGGGUGAGGAAGGGGAAAGCAGAAGGAUGACAGAAUGAACUUGGCUAUUGGAUUGAAUAAAUCCUAAAGUCAUUUCCAACUCAAUAUGUUUAUAAAAUUUUGUUACUAUGUAAAACACAAAGUUGCCUAGGGCCUGUAGAGCUCUCUGUGUGUUCCUUUUUAAGUAAUUAAAAGUAAAUAAGUAAAAUAAAAUUAAAUAAUUUGGGGUUUGAAUUUCUCUUUGAAUUGUACAUUAUAAUUGGAGGGAAAAGUGAUUUUGUGAUCAUAAAUUACUUAAGUAACUCAUUAGUUUAAUAUUUUAUUCUGAGAGUAUUUUUUUUUCCUUUAAUUCUCUGGAAUGAGAACAUUGACUUUAGAGUUAUACUCCAAGAAAAAAAACCUAUCCUGUAAAUUACCAGUUAACAGCUUCUUUCUUAAUGGGUAUUUUCAGUAAAAAAUCAUGUGAAUAACUGAAGGAGUGUCAUACCACCUGUUUAGAACUUGUUUUAUGAUUCUUUGAGUACUUAAAGGUCAUUUCUUUUGAUUAAUAUUUAAAGUAAUAUUUUAAAAUAUAUUAUUUUCAUGAAAAAAUGAUAGUUGUAGUUUAAAUAAGUAUAUAUGGUAAUGUAAUUUUAUAAGCCUCACUAGUUUUGUUUUAAAAUUUUUUCCUUUUUACAGCAGUGACAUAUUUAUUUCUUUUUAUCAGAUGUUACUGCCUCUUCAACCCAUAUUUUGGUUGAGAAAAUGAGUAUAUUUUAUUAGAUGCUAAUGAUAAUUAGGGUAUAAGCCUAGAAGAAGGUGGAAAGUGGGUCAAGUCAAUAUAUUCUGGGAGUCUUAUCUAUCCUCUCUGGCUCAAUUCAAAUCAGAAUGUAUGUCUACAAGAAAAUUGAACUCAUGAUUGUAGGUAGCUAUGUCUGUUAUCCCAAUGAUGAAGGGAGAAUUAAAGGCACUGGGAUUUUUUAUGCCUUUAUUUAGGCCCUCUCAGUAGCUUUUUCUUUCUUUGUUCCUUGUAUAUUUUUUUAUUUCAUGAUUAUAUACAUUUUUAAAAUAUUCAGGUUACUUCAUGUAUGAUCAAUUUCAGAAUGGAUGUAUUUUGUGAAGAAUUCUAGCUCUUUUGAAAAUUUUUUCACAUGUUGGUAAAAACUGUUACUGCCUUAAAGUGUAUAAUUUUGAAAUCAUGUUUUAAGAGGUGUUUGAUACCAAAUGCAAGUUUCUGUGCUGGAUGCUCAUUGAGGUUAAACAAACUGAAAUGUUGCAGUUUGAAACAGAAAAAGUUUUAUGGCAGAGCCAUGCAGGGAGAACUGGUGUUCUGUGUGCAAAAAAACCCGGAUCUCCUUGAAGUCCUUCAGCAAAGCAAUUUUUUAAAAGCCAGGUUGGGGGUGGGGUGUGAGGUGGGGCUCUCAAUAUAUGUGAUCAUUUCCUGCACUUUUCUCUACUUGUUUAAUGGUGAUCAAUCCUUAGGCACCAGAACAUUUGGGGGCCAUUAAUUUCUUCCAUUUGGUGGUGAUUUUAUCAUCUGAAGAACUCAGGAAAUAUGCAUGAGAUACUACUAUCUGGGUACUUCAGAGAGGAGCACCAGUAGAGGAUAUAGAGGAUACAGCGGAGGAUAUGGAGGAGGCCCUUGGAAGGCCAUAUGGGUCCUGCUCGGUUACACUUUCACAUUAGAUGUUAUAGUCCAGCCAUGUUGUAAUGUAAUGUGCAUUUCUUUGAUAGCCAAGUCAAAACUGAAGUACUUGGAGGUUAAUGCUCAGACUGAUAGAACUGGUUAGAUCUAGUCCUUCACUGAUGGUCUAUAUCUGAUAUUAACAAAAAUAUCAGCUCUUUUUUCAAAUAUACAUAAUGUCCUCUGAAGGCUCCGCAUAUUUUAGAAAAUAAAAUAAGCAUAUAAGUUAAAAUGUCAGCAGACAUAAUAUAAGGUAAACUGUACAGGGAGGCUUUCUAAUGAUGUUUUCUUAUUGUCUUAUUUUAUAGAAGCAUUUUGUAAAAAGAAAAAUAAAUUGUCAGUGUGAGCAAGCAUUUUUUUUAAUUCUCUUUAAGGAAUAAGUUCAUAUAUGUUUAUCUUUAGUAAUGAAAAGAAUAUAUGGAAAAAUUGAUAUUUAGACAAAAAAUCACACACAUAUACAUAUAUACAUAUAUAUAUGCAUAUGUGUAUGUAUACAUAUAUUUGGCUUUUAGAGUAUGUCUAAUCUAUUGCUUGGAUCACUGAUUCUUAACAUGAAAAAAAA